rnacentral:rRNA from 1 species
AACGCUGGCGGCGUGCCUCAGACAUGCAAGUCGAACGAUUAAACAGCGGCAUUUUCCUUCGGGAAAGAUGUAAAGUGGCGCACGGGUGAGUAACACGUAAGUAAUCUACCUUCGAGUGGGGAAUAACGUCCGGAAACGGACGCUAAUACCGCAUAAUGCCGAAAGAUGACAGUUGUUAAAGGAGCAAUUCGCUUGAAGAGGAGCUUGCGGCAGAUUAGCUAGUUGGUAAGGUAAUGGCUUACCAAGGCUACGAUCUGUAUCCGGUCUAAGAGGACGGUCGGACACACUGACACUGAAUAACGGGUCAGACUCCUACGGGAGGCAGCAGUCGGGAAUUUUGGGCAAUGGGCGAAAGCCUGACCCAGCAACGCCGCGUGAAGGAUGAAGUAUUUCGGUAUGUAAACUUCGAAAGAAUGGGAAGAACUCAAUGACGGUACCAUUUAUAAGGU